AAUGAACGCUGGCGGCAGGCCUAACACAUGCAAGUCGAGCGAGCAUUUCGGUGCUAGCGGCGGACGGGUGAGUAACGCGUGGGAACGUGCCCUUUUCUGCGGAAUAGUCCUGGGAAACUGGGGGUAAUACCGCAUACGCCCUUUUGCGGGAAGAUUUAUCGGAGAAGGAUCGGCCCGCGUUGGGUUAGGUAGUCGGGGGGGCAAUGGCCCACCAAGCCGACGAGCCAUAGCUGGCCUGAGAGGAUGAUCAGCCACACUGGGACUGAGACACGGCCCAGACUCCUACGGGAGGCAGCAGUGGGGAAUCUUAGACACUGCGGCCAACCGUGAGCUAGCCAUGUCGGGUGAGUGAUGAAGGCCUUAGGGUUGUAAAGCCUCUUCAGCUGGGAACAUAAUGACGGUACCAGCAGAAGAAGCCCCGGCUACCUCCGUG
rnacentral:rRNA from 1 species